rnacentral:rRNA from 1 species
UCCUACGGGGGGCAGCAGUGGGGAAUAUUGCACAAUGGGGGGAACCCUGAUGCAGCGACGCCGCGUGAGUGAAGAAGUAUUUCGGUAUGUAAGCUCUAUCAGCAGGGAAGAAGAUGACGGUACCUGACCAAGAAGCCCCGGCUAACUACGUGCCAGCAGCCGCGGUAAUACGUAGGGGGCAAGCGUUAUCCGGAAUUACUGGGUGUAAAGGGAGCGUAGACGGCUGUGCAAGUCUGAAGUGAAAUGCCGGGGCUCAACCCCGGAACUGCUUUGGAAACUGUACAGCUAGAGUGCAGGAGGGGUGA